UUCCAGACUCCUACGGGAGGCAGCAGUGAGGAAUAUUGGUCAAUGGCCGCAGGGCUGAACCAGCCAAGUCGCGUGAGGGAUGACGGUCCUAUGGAUUGUAAACCUCUUUUGUCAGGGAGCAAAGGGCGCCACGUGUGGCGUUUUGCGAGUACCUGAAGAAAAAGCAUCGGCUAACUCCGUGCCAGCAGCCGCGGUAAUACGGAGGAUGCGAGCGUUAUCCGGAUUUAUUGGGUUUAAAGGGUGCGUAGGCGGGAUGCCAAGUCAGCGGUCAAAUACGGGGGCUCAACCUGCGUCCGCCGUUGAAACUGGCGUUCUUGAGUGGGCGAGAAGUACGCGGAAUGCGUGGUGUAGCGGUGAAAUGCAUAGAUAUCACGCAGAACCCCGAUUGCGAAGGCAGCGUACCGGCGCCCGACUGACGCUGAAGCACGAAAGUGUGGGUAUCGAACAGGAUUAGAUACCCCGGUA
rnacentral:rRNA from 1 species